UUCCGCCUUCCGAGCCCGCCUUCUCGCCACGCACCUGCGUCAGCGCGCUCUGCGCGUGCGCCGGCGGCAGGGCUGUGGGGAGAAUGGCUGCGUCUUCGAGUGGUGAGAAGGAGAAGGAGCGGCUGGGAGGCGGUUUGGUAGUGGCGAGUGGUAACAGCACACGAGAGCGGCUGCUGUCUGCGCUUGAGGAUUUGGAGGUCUUGUCUAGGGAACUUAUAGAAAUGCUGGCAAUUUCAAGAAACCAAAAGUUGUUACAGGCUGGAGAGGAAAACCAGGUCCUGGAGUUGUUAAUUCACCGAGAUGGGGAAUUUCAAGAACUAAUGAAAUUGGCAGUUAAUCAGGGAAAAAUUCAUCAUGAAAUGCAAGUUUUAGAAAAAGAAGUAGAGAAGAGAGACAGUGAUAUUCAGCAAUUACAAAAACAGCUAAAGGAAGCAGAACAAAUACUGGCAACAGCUGUUUACCAAGCAAAGGAGAAACUCAAGUCAAUAGAAAAAGCAAGAAAAGGUGCUAUCUCCUCUGAAGAAAUAAUUAAGUAUGCACAUAGGAUCAGUGCCAGUAAUGCUGUAUGUGCUCCACUGACCUGGGUUCCAGGGGACCCCCGGAGACCCUACCCAACUGAUUUAGAGAUGAGAAGUGGGUUACUGGGUCAGAUGAACAAUCCUUCCACUAAUGGCGUGAAUGGCCAUUUACCAGGAGAUGCACUCGCAGCAGGAAGAUUGCCAGAUGUCCUUGCUCCACAGUAUCCAUGGCAGUCAAAUGACAUGUCGAUGAAUAUGUUACCACCAAAUCAUAGUAGUGACUUUUUGUUGGAACCUCCUGGGCAUAAUAAAGAAAAUGAAGAUGAUGUAGAGAUUAUGUCAACGGACUCCUCAAGCAGUAGUAAGAUGGAGUUUCACCAUGUUGGCCAGACUGGUUCCGAACUGCUGACCUCAAGUGAUCCACCCACCUCGGCCUCCCAAAGUGCUGGGAUUACAGGUGUGAGCCACCGCGCCUGGCAAGAGCCUUCUUUACUUAGCACAGAAGAUUGCUUAAUAAAUACUUCUUGGUUAUAUUGCUUGACUGUUUUGUUAGAUCCUACAUAAAACAAACUCUUAGAGGAUAGAACUAGCUACUGAGCUGGUGUUUCUACCACCGUUCUAACCAUUGGUUCUUGCAACUAUUGCUCCUGGCCACUUCACUUCUAGCCCUUUGGGUCAGUCAGCUAGACACCCAAACAGUUCACCUGUGAUGGCUCAUGGAGAAAAAUCCAUGCAUGGUAGCUGGGGUGGGAUGGUGGCCUCUCGGGACCUCACUGCACUCCCCUGUUCUGACCUGCUGAUCUAUUUCCCUGAUUCUAAACUCCUCAUUUCAUCCCCCAGCCCUUUAGUCUUACUAUGGUUCUUGCCCAACAUGGCAUCUUUCAUUAUUGAACCUGUUGACCACCUCUUCUUUCUCCUUCCAUUUGAAUUCAACUCUUUGGUAGUGGCAUGAGCAGGGACGUUGGUUAAGUUAGUGAACUGCCAUAAGUAUUUGUAAACCCAGUGUACGCAAAAGCCAUUAAGAAAACGAAAACUCUCCUGGCCAUGGAUUGCUUCUUUUUUUUCUUUUUUUUUUUUUUUUUUGAGACGGAGUCUCACUCUGUCACCCAGGUUGGAGUGCAGUGGCGCGAUCUCGGCUCACUGCAAGCUCCGCCUCCUGGGUUCAUGCCAUUCUCCUGCCUCAGCUUCUCCGAGUAGCUGGGACUACAGGUGCCUGCCACCACGCCCGGCUAAUUUUUUUUUUUUUGUAUUUUUAGUAGCGAUGGGGUUUCACCGUGGUCUCGAUCUCCUGACCUCGUGAUCCACCCGCCUCGGCCUCCCAAAGUGCUGGAAUUACAAGCGUGAGCCACCGUGCAUGGAUUGCUUCUAUGUAGCACUGCUGAUAAGAAAGACGGGUGAAGCAAUGUGUGGUCGAGAGCACUUGGUUUAUUUUCACCAGUGGCAACAACAGAGGGAGGAGCAAAAUGCAGGUGUGUGUCCUGCAGCUCUCAAACUGGUAGACCUAAAACAUUUUGUGGACAAGUUGAGCCCUUCUUCAUACUGUCUUAAAGCUGCUUCCUCAAGGCAGUUCAUGGCUCCUACUUGCCAGACUUCCACCUGUGGUCUGGUUUACCUCUCUUGGGGUUGCAAGAAUAUCUUACCUAAAUAGUCACUUUCUCUGCAUCCCAAGUAUCUUGUUGAUUGGAACAGCUUAUUGUGUGAGUCAGGUUUAUCUAAUUCUACUGAUUUAUUUCCACUAAUAAAACACAACAUAAUAAAAUUCUCAAAUAUGCAUGAACACAUAAUUAUAUCCCUUUAAAAAUACAGAACCUGUUAUAAAGUACAUUUCACAUGCAUGUUACUUAAUAAUUUCCCCUACAACAUAGUAAGUUGCCCUCAUUUUUCCUCACAUUAGUAAAUUGGCAUUUGGAUUUCAGCUUCCUUACCCAGUUGUGAACUUUGUGUACAUCUUUAGCCAGAGUGUCACUUCUGUUUCUAUUUUGGGCCCUAACUCCUCCUUACACCUAUAGAAACAGAUAUUCUUCAUGUCCCUGCCAAUAAUUGGAAUGCGGUAUUUGUAUUUCCUAUUCUGAAGAUCCUCAAUACUACUUGUUUUCAUUCUGACCCAGAAAAAGUAAAAGUUAAGAAAAAGAAAUACUAAAAGGUCAUUUUUUUCAUUCAGCUAGUAUAUAUUAGGCAUUUAGCAUUAGCAGUUACCACUCUGGCUGCUAGGUAUAUAAUAGAAAGACACGGUCUUUAGUCUAAAGGAGCUUACUUUCUACUGGGGAAACAAGCAAUCAAUAAAAAUCAACAUGACAUCUUCCAUAAUAUACAAGUACUGGCAGCCUUAUCAGAUGCAUCAAACCUAAAUCCUCAAAUAAUCAAAGCUGUGCUCAGCCACAGAAAAUACCCUUCCAGAGUUACACGUGAUCCCUGAAAGGUGAACAUAUUUCCUCUUCAUUCAUAUAAAUAGUGUUUAUGAAAACUGCAAUAUUGAUGUAUACUUGUCUUCAGCCAUUUUGAAGGAGGAGGCUGACUUGCGGGCAUUUUAUCUACAGAAUUUAACUUAUUGCUUCACAGAUGCAUCAGAGGUGAAUUCAACCCAUUAGAAAUUUAAACCAAGCUAUUCAAAAAGACAAACGGGUGGCUUUGGAAGAACACAACUGACAUGUCUCAUUUAAAUCUAGAGCCUUAUGAAAUCAAAAGCUACCUCUGAAGUCAACAUACAGUAGAAAUGGUGUAAGAAAAUCAAGAAAUCUUCUCGGCCACCUAGAGAUGAUUUCCUUUGUAUCCCACCAGAUGGUUCAGAUCUUCUUUAAAUGGAUCAUAGCCUUGUUCUUUUAAACAACGCAGUCCCCAGAAAAGCUGGUCCAGAGGAGGUAAUUCUUCCCAAGGAACCCACUCCCAACCUGGAAAAGAAAGAUGCUAAAUCAAUUUAUUUAGCUAAUAGAAAACAAAGGGUAUUUAUUUGGGUAAGCUAACCUAUAUUUAGAAAAAAUUAAUUGAAUUUAAAAAUAACUUGCUACUAAUAAACUCUAAUAGUGA